UACGUAGGGUGCAAGCGUUGUCCGGAAUUAUUGGGCGUAAAGAGCUCGUAGGCGGUUUGUCGCGUCUGCUGUGAAAUCCGGAGGCUCAACCUCCGGCCUGCAGUGGGUACGGGCAGACUAGAGUGCGGUAGGGGAGACUGGAAUUCCUGGUGUAGCGGUGAAAUGCGUAGAUAUCUGGAGGAACACCGGUGGCGAAGGCGGCGUCCUGGACCAACACUGACACUGAGGAGCGAAAGCCAGGGGAGCAAACGGG
rnacentral:rRNA from 1 species